UACGUAGGGGGCUAGCGUUGUCCGGAAUCAUUGGGCGUAAAGCGCGUGUAGGCGGCCCGGUAAGUCCGCUGUGAAAGUCGGGGGCUCAACCCUCGGAUGCCGGUGAAUACUGUCGGGCUCGAGUACGGAAGAGGCGAGUGGAAUUCCUGGUGUAGCGGUGAAAUGCGCAGAUAUCAGGAGGAACACCAAUUGCGAAGGCAGCUCGCUGGGACGUUACUGACGCUGAGACGCGAAAGCGUGGGGAGCAAACAGG
rnacentral:rRNA from 1 species